rnacentral:rRNA from 1 species
CUACGGGCUGCUGCAGUGGGGAAUUUUGCGCAAUGGGGGAAACCCUGACGCAGCAAUACCGCGUGAGUGAAGAAGGCCUUUGGGUCGUAAAGCUCUUUUCUUGGGGAAGAUAGUGACGGUACCCAAGGAAUAAGCACCGGCUAACUCCGUGCCAGCAGCCGCGGUAAUACGGAGGGUGCAAGCGUUGUUCGGAUUUACUGGGCGUAAAGGGCACGUAGGCGGCACAGCAAGUUAAGGGUGAAAUCCCGGGGCUCAACUCCGGAACUGCUCUUUAAACUGCUGAGCUAGAGAUAGUCAGAGGCGGGUGGAAUUCCAGGUGUAGAGGUGAAAUUCGUAGAUAUCUGGAGGAACACCGGUGGCGAAGGCGGCCCGCUGGGGCUAUUCUGACGCUAAGGUGCGAAAGCGUGGGGAGCAAACGGGAUUAGAUACCCUGGUAGUC